UACGUAGGGUGCAAGCGUUGUCCGGAAUUAUUGGGCGUAAAGAGCUUGUAGGCGGUUUGUCGCGUCUGCUGUGAAAUUUCGGGGCUCAACCCCGAACUUGCAGUGGGUACGGGCAGACUAGAGUGUGGUAGGGGAGACUGGAAUUCCUGGUGUAGCGGUGAAAUGCGCAGAUAUCAGGAGGAACACCGAUGGCGAAGGCAGGUCUCUGGGCAGUAACUGACGCUGAGGCGCGAAAGCGUGGGGAGCAAACAGG
rnacentral:rRNA from 1 species